rnacentral:rRNA from 1 species
AUUGAACGCUGGCGGCAUGCUUUACACAUGCAAGUCGAACGGUAACAGGUUAAGCUGACGAGUGGCGAACGGGUGAGUAAUGCAUCGGAACGUGCCCGAUCGUGGGGGAUAACGCAGCGAAAGCUGCGCUAAUACCGCAUACGAUCUGAGGAUGAAAGCGGGGGACCGUAAGGCCUCGCGCGAUCGGCGCGGCCGAUGUCAGAUUAGGUAGUUGGUGGGGUAAAGGCACACCAAGCCAACGAGCUGUAGCUGGUCUGAGAGGACGACCAGCCACACUGGGACUGAGACACGGCCCAGACUCCUACGGGAGGCAGCAGUGGGGAAUUUUGGACAAUGGGCGAAAGCCUGAUCCAGCAAGGCCGCGUGCAGGAAGAAGGCCUUCGGGUUGUAAACUGCUUUUGUACGGAGCGAAAAGGCUCUCUCUAAUACAGGGGGCUCAUGACGGUACCGUAAGAAUAAGCACCGGCUAACUACGUGCCAGCAGCCGCCGUAA